UACGGAGGGUGCGAGCGUUAUCCGGAAUCACUGGGUUUAAAGGGUGCGUAGGCGGCCUGGUAAGUCAGAGGUGAAAGCUUCCCGCUCAACGGGAGAACUGCCUUUGAUACUGCCGGGCUCGAAUUGGGUUGAGGCUGGCGGAAUGUGGCAUGUAGCGGUGAAAUGCUUAGAUAUGCCAUAGAACACCGAUUGCGAAGGCAGCCAGCCAAGCCUUGAUUGACGCUGAGGCACGAAAGCGUGGGGAGCGAACAGG
rnacentral:rRNA from 1 species